CGGGUCGGCCGGAGGGGUCGCCCGUCGGUGGUGCUCCGGCAUCAUGCGGACGGGAGGAAAGUCCGGACACCGCAAGGCAGCAUGCCACGCGCAAGCGUGGGGGCGGCGGAGAAAUCCGGCGUCACGGAAAGUGUCACAGAAAACAAACCGCCGUCCGGCAACGGGCGGCAAGGGUGAAAUGGCGGGGUAAGAGCCCACCGCUCCAACCGCGAGGAAGGAGGCACGACAAACCCCAUGCGGUGCAAGACAGAACAGGAGAAAGGCCCGCCUGGCCGCAAACCUGUCCGCUCCGGCGGACGGGUGGAUGACUCCGGGUAAUAGUCGCACCCCGCGCGAGCGGAGGCCGGCGCCGCAAGGCGCUGGCAGACAAAUGACCUCACCGGAGGCCGCAAGGCCGAAGGAACAGAAUCCGGCUUAUGAAGGCCGGCCCACCUU
rnacentral:RNase_P_RNA from 1 species